GAGUUUGAUCCUGGCUCAGGAUGAACGCUGGCGGCGUGCUUAACACAUGCAAGUCGAACGGGGCACCCCCAAAGGAGUUUUCGGACAACUGCGGGGAGUGCCUAGUGGCGGACGGGUGAGUAACGCGUGAGCAACCUGCCUUGGAGUGGGGAAUAACAGAUGGAAACAUCUGCUAAUACCGCAUGAUGCAGUUGGGCCACAUGGCUCUGACUGCCAAAGAUUUAUCGCUCUGAGAUGGGCUCGCGUCUGAUUAGCUAGUUGGCGGGGUAACGGCCCACCAAGGCGACGAUCAGUAGCCGGACUGAGAGGUUGGCCGGCCACAUUGGGACUGAGACACGGCCCAGACUCCUACGGGAGGCAGCAGUGGGGAAUAUUGGGCAAUGGGCGCAAGCCUGACCCAGCAACGCCGCGUGAAGGAAGAAGGCUUUCGGGUUGUAAACUUCUUUUCUCAGGGACGAACAGAUGACGGUACCUGAGGAAUAAGCCACGGCUAACUACGUGCCAGCAGCCGCGGUAAUACGUAGGUGGCAAGUGUUAUCCGGAUUUACUGGGUGUAAAGGGC
rnacentral:rRNA from 1 species